rnacentral:rRNA from 1 species
CCUACGGGAGGCAGCAGUAGGGAAUUUUGCGCAAUGGGGGAAACCCUGACGCAGCAACGCCGCGUGAUUGAUGAAGCCCUUCGGGGUGUAAAGAUCUGUCAGUGGGGACGAAACUUGACGGUACCCACAGAGGAAGCAUCGGCUAACUCCGUGCCAGCAGCCGCGGUAAUACGGGGGAUGCAAGCGUUGUCCGGAAUCAUUGGGCGUAAAGAGUUCGUAGGUGGCAGGUUAAGUCUGGUGUUAAAUGCAGAGGCUCAACCUCUGUUCGGCACUGGAUACUGGCGAGCUUGAAUGCGGUAGAGGUGAAGGGAAUUCCAGGUGUAGCGGUGAAAUGCUUAGAUAUCACGAAGAACCCCGAUUGCGAAGGCAGCCUGCCGCAGCGUUACUGACGCUGAAGCUCGAAAGCGCGGGUAUCGAACAGGAUUAGAUACCCUUGUAGUC